UACGGAGGGUGCGAGCGUUGCUCGGAAUUAUUGGGCGUAAAGCGUACGCAGGCGGCGUUGCAAGUCGAGUGUGAAAGCCCCGGGCUUAACUUGGGAAUUGCGCUCGAAACUACGAUGCUGGAGUGUGGCAGAGGAAGGUGGAAUUCCACGUGUAGCGGUGAAAUGCGUAGAGAUGUGGAGGAACACCGAUGGCGAAGGCAGCCUUCUGGGCCAACACUGACGCUCAUGCACGAAAGCGUGGGGAGCAAACAGG
rnacentral:rRNA from 1 species